rnacentral:rRNA from 1 species
AUUUUGGACAAUGGGCGCAAGCCUGAUCCUGCCAUGCCGCGUGUGUGAAGAAGUCCUUCGGGUUGAAAAGCUCUGUCGUACGGAAAGAUGUCGAGCAGGAUAAUACCCUGCGCGGACUGCGGAACCGACAUUAGAGUAUCUGGGAACACACGUACCUGGACCCGGGGUAAUACUUAGGGUGCGAGCGUUAAACGGAAUUACUGGGCGUAAAGCGUGCGCAGGCGGUUGAUUAAGACAGGCGUGAAAUCCCCGGGCUUAACCUGGGAACUGCGCUUGUGACUGGUCAGCUAGAGUACGGCAGAGGGGGGUGGAAUUCCACGUGUAGCAGUGAAAUGCGUAGAGAUGUGGAGGAACACCGAUAGCGAAGGCAGCCCCCUGGGCCGAUACUGACGCUCAUGCACGAAAGCGUGGGUAGCAAACAGG